GGUCCCUUAGCUCAGUGGUAGAGCAUGCGGCUCAUAAUCGCUCGGUCACAGGUUCGAAUCCUGUAUGGACCA
rnacentral:tRNA from 1 species